rnacentral:rRNA from 1 species
AGUAGUUUGAUCCGUGGCUCAGGACGAACGCUGGCGGCACGCUUAACACAUGCAAGUCGAACGAACGAAGAGAAGCUUGCUUCUCCUAGUUAGUGGCGGACGGGUGAGUAACACGUGAGCAACCUGCCUUCGAGCGAGGAAUAAUGGCUGGAAACGGCCACUAAUACCUCAUAACGCAGCGGUACCGCAUGAUACUGCUGCCAAAGAUUUAUCACUUGAAGAUGGGCUCGCGUCCGAUUAGUUAGAUGGUGAGGUAACGGCUCACCAUGACCGCGAUCGGUAGCCGUACUGAGAGGUAGAACGGCCACAUUGGGACUGAGACACGGCCCAGACUCC